rnacentral:rRNA from 1 species
GACGAACGCUGGCGGCGUGCCUAAUACAUGCAAGUAGGACGCAGUUGCGAACGGGGGAGUAACGCGUAGGUAACUGCCUAUUAGAGGGGGAUAACUAUUUGGAACGCAAGCUAAUACCGCAUACUCGUAGAUGGACCUGCCUUGUAUUAGCUAGUAGGUGGGGUAAUGGCCUACCUAGGCAAAGAUACAUAGCCGACCUGGGAGGGUGGUUGGCCAAACUGGGAAUGGGAACAGGCCCAGAAUUCCACCGGAGGCAGCAGUAGGGAAACUUCGGCAAUUGGGGGAACCCUGAACGAGCAAAGCCGGGGGAGUGAAGAAGGUUUUCGGAUCGUAAAGCUCUGUUGUUAAGGAAGCGGUACUUAACCAGAAAGGGACGGCUAACUACGUGCCAGCAGCCGCGGUAAUUC